ACUAAGACUGGAUAGGAAACAAAAAGGCAUCUUUUUGUUUUUAAAAGACCUUCUUACGAAGGUAUGCUUAAAGAGGGGCUUGCGCCACAUUAGUUAGUUGGUAGAGUAAAAGCCUACCAAGACGAUGAUGUGUAGCUGGACUGAGAGGUUGAACAGCCACAUUGGGACUGAGACACGGCCCAAACUCCUACGGGAGGCAGCAGUAGGGAAUUUUCGGCAAUGGAGGAAACUCUGACCGAGCAACGCCGCGUGAACGAUGAAGUAUUUCGGUAUGUAAAGUUCUUUUAUUGAAGAAGAAAAAGUAGUGGAAAAACUAUAUUGACGUUAUUCAAUGAAUAAGCCCCGGCUAACUAUGUGCCAGCAGCCGCGGUAAGACAUAGGGGGCGAGCGUUAUCCGGAAUUAUUGGGCGUAAAGGGUGCGUAGGCUGUUAGAUAAGUCUAUAAUUUAAUUUCAGUGCUUAACGCUGUCUUGUUAUAGAAACUGUCUUGACUAGAGUGAGAUAGAGGCAAGCGGAAUUCCAUGUGUAGCGGUAAAAUGUGUAAAUAUAUGGAGGAACACCAGAAGCGUAGGCGGCUUGCUGGGUCUUUACUGACGCUGAGGCACGAAAGCGUGGGUAGCAAACAGGAUUAGAUACCCUGGUAGUCCACGCCGUAAACGAUGAGUACUAAGUGUCGGGGUAAAACUCGGUACUGAAGUUAACACAUUAAGUACUCCGCCUGAGUAGUACGUACGCAAGUAUGAAACUUAAAGGAAUUGACGGGACUCCGCACAAGCGGUGGAUCAUGUUGUUUAAUUCGAAGAUACACGAAAAAUCUUACCAGGUCUUGACAUACUCUGCAAAGCUAUAGAAAUAUAGUGGAGGUUAUCAGGGAUACAGGUGGUGCAUGGUUGUCGUCAGUUCGUGUCGUGAGAUGUUAGGUUAAGUCCUAAAACGAACGCAACCCUUGUCGUUAAUUGCCAGCACAUAAUGGUGGGGACUUUAACGAGACUGCCAAUUAAACAUUGGAGGAAGGUGAGGAUUACGUCAAAUCAUCAUGCCCCUUAUGAUCUGGGCUACAAACGUGAUCCAAUGGCUGUGACAAAGAGUAGCUGAAACGCGAGUUUUUAGCCAAUCUCAAAAAAGCAGUCUCAGUUCGGAUUGAAGUCUGUAACUCGACUUCAUGAAGUUGGAAUCGCUAGUAAUCGCGAAUCAGCAUGUCGCGGUGAAUACGUUCUCGGGGUUUGUACACACCGC
rnacentral:rRNA from 1 species